rnacentral:lncRNA from 1 species
CUGAGACUAAGUUUGCUGUGGAUCACAAAUGACCACCAAAUCUCAGGGGGUUGCCACAGCAAAGGUUUCCUUCUGGCUCAUGCUGCAGCUCUGCUCCUGUGGAUCAGCUCUGGGAUCCAGGUUAACGGAGCAGCCUCUGUCUGGAUAUGCUUUUCUCCUGGCAGAAGGAAAAGAGAUGGAAGAACUAAGCGAUGGCUCUUAGAGCAAGUCACAUGGCCAAGCCAGACAUCAGUGGGGUGGGAUAUAUAAUCCUGUUCCAGGGACAUGCUGGAAAGGCAGGUCCAGCAAAUACCCCCAAAAUAAUGCAAUGUUAGUAAAUUUGCCUUGUGGAUCCUGUGCUUGUGACCUCACCUCUUGUCAGUACAAAGAACUCCGAUAUCCCCUUCUCGCAGAAUCUGCAAUUUUCAACAUUUUACCACAUUUUCACCAUCUUUUAUUAUUCUUUCUCUCUCUCGUAUGUUUGCACCCCUCCCCCCGUUCUUUUUCUGAAUCACUUGAGAGCAAGUUACAGACACUGUGCCCAACUCCCCGCUAAAAACUCCAGAGUGCAUUUUUCCAAAACAAAGAGCCUCACUAACACAUGCUAAUUCAAUUGUCCAAAACAGGAAAUCAACAUUGAUUGGACACUAUUGUCCAAUCCACAGACCCAUUUAAGUUUCAAAAAGUGUUUCAACGUGUCCUUCUCCCUUCUGGUUCAGCUUCCCAUCCAGAAUCACUGAGUUUUGCAUCUUGUUAGUUUCCUUCAACCCGGAGCAUUUCCUCAGUCUUUCCCUGUUUCACAACAUUAACAGUUUUAAAGGGUGCAGGCCUUUCAUUCUGUGAGAUUUCUCUCAACUAGGGUCAUUCUGAUGUUUCCUCACAACCAGCUUCAGGCCAUCCAUUUUCGGUGGGAAGGGCACAGAAGUGAUGCUGUACCCUUUUCCAUGGAUUACAUCAGGAUGCAACUCAGUGUUGAUACGUCCCUGGUGAUGCCAACCUCGAUCAUCUGAUGCUGUUGGUUGGGAAUAUUAGUCCUAGCAGUGUGUUUAUUUGGACAGAAUCUUCUCACAGCAAAGCAAGCUGAGGUCCCCUGGAGCAGAUCAUACAGACAUGGUUUCUAUGCUGGGUUUGUUGAUACUGGUGGUAUUUGGCAGAGACCGAAUACCUGGCUUGUAGAAGACAUCAUACCUCACACUCAUCCUGCUCUCACACGUGGAAGGUACACCAUCCUGACCGGUGACUGUGCCUUCUGCCUGCCUGAAGAUAAGGUGGCCACAGGACCAACAGGGACUAUUGGUGACCAGUGCACCCUUGUGCACUGGGAUUAGGGAUUGGCCCUAAUUUGGUUAUUUCAGGCAAAGGUGUAACCAUAAACCUCACCCUGAAUCUAGAAAUUAAGGUUUCCUGAGCAAUUCUUGGAAGGCAGUUCCUGGCAGCACUUAAACCCCCAAGGAAGCAAAGAGAAGCCUGAAACAAAAUCCAGAUGCCUUGCAUGGGACACUCACUUUGUUGUGGAGGUUCUUGGCUGAAACCCGCUUGUAAUAAAAGACGGAUUAACAAGAGAAAAGCAAACUUAAUUUUGUACAGGAGUCCCACAAAGGUAGGAGACUCAAAAGGCAGCCAAGCAAUUACAGCUUAUAGGCCAUCCUGAGCUAAGGAAAAGAAUAGGGGCCUGCGGCUUCAAAAGGGAGGAGGGCAAUUCACAGGAAGGGGAGAAGAGCAGACGUUUGGUUAACAAAUAUUUGCCCUGCCACAUAGAGAAGUCUCUCAGAAGAAAAAGUUCUCUCUGGUAAUAGCUCUCUUCUUGGUACAGGCCCCCUUUCUAACUUCUUUUAGGCAGUUAAGUGGGGAGGUAAAAAGUUUUUCCUGAGUCUACUGGGUCGUGCUUGCCUUCAGCUCAAAAUAACCCACAUGCUGAAGUGGCACAUUUUGGGGUAGCUUGUUCUGAACCCCCUCAAUAAAAUAUGCCUAGCUAACUUUCUUCAGGCGGUUCAACCAUGACACCUUUGGGGUUAGCUUUGCUACUGGGCUAUAAAAUCUUAGCACGUUAUCAAUUUCUGCAAAGCAACCGCUUAUCUUACAGGGCUAUAAAUCAUAUUGCUUCUAUCAAUGGUGUUAUUAAUUAAAAAAAACUGUGACAACAAACUUGCAUUCCCCCAGAGUAUCAAAUGAGAGUCCCAUUUGACAAAGUCCUGCUUUUAUUCAAGCAGGCAAAUUAUUUUCUAGUAAGAGAAUGCAUAGCAAAAGAGAAAUCAAGUAAGCACCAUUUUGUCAUUUUCCCAGUGGGAGAUAACUUUUCUUGUUAGCGUUAUAAGGAAAAGCC